rnacentral:piRNA from 1 species
UUGGCUGUAGUCCUCCUUCUGACCAUGC